GGGAUGUAUUAGCAUCCAAUGACUGACUUCGAAGUACAAAACUGGUUCAAACCGGUUUCGUUCUUAUAUUUCAGUGUAUAUAAACUAUUAAAACAUUCGGUUGUAUUCUACAUUCGCCAUUUUACGCACGAAACCCACAGCGGUCGCCUGUAACCUCUCGGGGGAACGCAUAUUUACGGUUACAUUUCUGUAAAUUUACCACUUAUUUCCUGCCACCAAGAUGCCCAAAGUAAAGCGGACUAAGGAGGUCCCCGCUGAGGCUACAAGGAAAUCUGCACGGCUAUUACUGAACCCUCCACCUCCAAAGCCAGCACCGAAGGUCAAAAAAGCUGCACCAAAGAAGGCAGCCAAAGGAAAGAAGGCCAAUCCAGCUGAAAAUGGGGAUGCCAAGGCUGAGGCACCAAAUGUUGAGGCCACUGAAGAAGCCAAAUGAAUAGCAGUUGAAGAUGUGCUCAUUCUGUGUACUUGGUGAUUGUACAGUUUGAAAUAAGUAUUUUUUACCAAGUUUUAUAUUACAGAUGUCAUUUAUAGUUUUGUUUUGGGCUUGCACUUGAUGUAAUGAAGCUGUUCCAAGGAGGUUUCUCACAUUGAUAUCCAUUUUUACGCCAUUUUGAAAUGAAUCCGUCCAUAUCUUGUAAAAGUAGCAUUUUUAUCUAGUCUAAUCCUGUUUUUUAACUGCUGAAUAAUACAGAUAUUUUCCUACAUUUUGGAUUUUAAAAUCUAACUUUAAAACCCAAACAUUAUAAGGCAGCUAAAGUGUAUUGUUUAAAAAAAAAAAAAAAAAGGCUAGGGAUAAUAGCAGUUUUGCUGAUGCUAUUAUUUGUUUAACAAAUAAUGAAAUGCUUACCAAAUGUUUUGAAGCACUGUAUAUUGACAUCAAAUGUAGUCAAAAUACUGCAAAAAAAAAAAAAAUGUUUUAGGAGAAAUUGUAUUAGGUCAACAGUUAAAUACAUCCCAAUAACAUUUAUGAUGUGAACUUCUCAUCUGAUAAAACAUUCUGUUUAUUAAGUUAUUUUCGGUAACUGUUAAAGGAAGGUUUUCUGGCUGAUUUGACUGAAUUAAAUGUACUUGUGACUGAUUUUAUUGUUCUUGAAUAAAAUGUUCCAAAAUGUC